ACACCGUUGGUGAAACGGUAUCAUGCAUCGUUGCCAUUUGAGAUUUUCGAUGCGGCAGGGGUUCGACUCCCCUACGGUGUA
rnacentral:tRNA from 1 species